rnacentral:piRNA from 1 species
UCCUGCACAGAGGUAAACUGAAGAC